rnacentral:lncRNA from 1 species
GUGGUUUUUGAGGCUUCUGAAAGUUGUGGCUUCUAUGUUUUUAAUUUCCUCUUCUAAUAGCCUUUUCUAUGACUAUCUUACCAUAGCUUUUCUUAGAAGCUCAGCCAUGGGUUUGAAAACAGGACUUGCAUUUCAUGUAGCUGUCUUUGCCAGUCUACCAGAAAGUGUUGAAGUCAAUAGUGUCCUUCACGUUAUUCAUUAGCAGAAAGAUGAUGGUGUAGAGAUCAGGGUCUGAGGUGUUAAGCUGGGCUGAUAAAUAACAGCAGGGAGGGAUCUGCUUAUGUCCUGAAGCUCCAGGAACACUUGAUUUGUAGAACAAGAAUAAUGUUUAUAUUAUUAUAUGUUUUACACAUAUGAUUUUACAAAAAAUUCACCUGCACUUAUGGAAAUUUAAUCUUCAAAACAAUCCUUUUUUUUUAAACAUAAGAAAAUAGCCUCCAGAAGAUAAAUUGCCUUGCUGAUCAUGGAGCUCUGAAGGUGGAAACAAUGGAUUAUCUGUUCUUCUGAUUUUUACGCCAGCACUCUCACUACACCAUAUGGCACUUUACUGCAAACCAAAGGAUUCGUGGGGCACUGAAACUUGGGACUCACCUGCAAACCCACGAUAUAAGAGGCUUGCACCUGCCUUCAUCCACAAACGUGGCAGAAUGAAAGGCAGGAUUAUCAACCACCCACUUGAAGGCUGUUUGAUGCACCGAAGUCAGUACAAGACUUACGUCUCUGAACGGUCCAUGCUGCAGCAGACACCACUUGUACCCAGCCCUACAAAGUCAGGCCCACCCUUUCAUCCAGUCAUUGUCAUGGUAACUGCGCAACUCAGAUGUAACCUUAUGGCACUUUACCUCAGCUGCACUGUGGGCUUCUCAUUCUCUGCUCCAGGCUUUCUCUGACUUCAAGGCAGAAGACACUUGAGCAAACCCAGACUUUACAAGGGAACAAAUACACUAUAGUGGAAUCCUUUACCAGUGGGAACUUGAACCCAGUGGAGACGUGGUUGCUUCUUUUGGACAUGAGGCACACUCUGUAGAGAGAACCAAUAGGACUGGGUGACCAACCUGAUAUGCACAUUUCAAUUCCUUCUGCUCCUUUUCAUAUUCUCCACUUUCCCUCUCCUAUUCC